rnacentral:rRNA from 1 species
AACGAACGCUGGCGGCAUGCCUAACACAUGCAAGUCGAACGAGACCUUCGGGUCUAGUGGCGCACGGGUGCGUAACGCGUGGGAACCUGCCCUUAGGUUCGGAAUAACUCCCCGAAAGGGGUGCUAAUACCGGAUAAUGUCUUCGGACCAAAGAUUUAUCGCCUUUGGAUGGGCCCGCGUUGGAUUAGCUAGUUGGUAGGGUAAAAGCCUACCAAGGCGACGAUCCAUAGCUGGUCUGAGAGGAUGAUCAGCCACACUGGGACUGAGACACGGCCCAGACUCCUACGGGAGGCAGCAGGGGGGAAUAUUGGACAAUGGGCGAAAGCCUGAUCCAGCAAGGCCGCGUGAGUGAUGAAGGCCUUAGGGUUGUAAAGCCCUUUUACCCGGGAUGAUAAUGACAGUACCGGGGAAUAAGCUCCGGCUAACUCCGUG